rnacentral:rRNA from 1 species
UACGUAGGUGGCAAGCGUUGUCCGGAUUUACUGGGCGUAAAGGGCGUGCAGGCGGUUUGUUAAGUCUAGGGUGAAAGCUCCCGGCUCAACUGGGAGAGGUCCUUGGAUACUGGCGAACUUGAGGGAUGCAGAGGAAAGUGGAAUUCCCGGUGUAGUGGUGAUAUGCGUAGAUAUCGGGAGGAACACCGGUGGCGAAGGCGGCUUUCUGGGCAUUUCCUGACGCUGAGACGCGAAAGCGUGGGGAGCGAACCGG